rnacentral:tmRNA from 1 species
GGGGCUGACUUGGAUUUCGACAGAUUUCUUGUCGCACAGACAGCAUGCCAAGUGCUACUUGUAAAACAGCAACAAAAAUAACUGUAAACAACACAGAUUACGCUCCAGCUUACGCUAAAGUUGCGUGAGUUAAUCUCCUUUUGGAGCUGGACUGAUUAGAAUUUCUAGCGUUUUAAUCACUCCAUAACCUUAAGCUAGACGCUUUUAAAAGGUGGUUCGCCUUUUAAACUAAGAAACAAGAACUCUUGAAACUACCUCAAGGUUUUAGAAAGUUGGACCAGAGCUAGUUUUAAGGCUAAAAAAUUAACCAAUUUUCUAAGCAUUGUAGAAGUUUGUGUUUAGGACAAGAUUUUUGGACUGGGGUUCGAUUCCCCACAGCUCCACCA